rnacentral:rRNA from 1 species
GAUUUCACUCCUACCCCUGUAGUACCUCUUACCUCUCCCGGUUCCAAGUCUGGCAGUAUCCCCCGAAAGCCUAACAGUUGAGCUGUCAGAUUUCCCGGAGGACUGACCAAACCGGCUACGGACCCUUUAGACCCAAUAAUCACGAUCACCACUCGGGCCGCCGGUGUUACCGCGGCGGCUGGCACCGGUCUUGCCCGGCCCUUGCUAACAGGUGUAUUUUACACACCUGGACAGCCAGCAUAUGAUGCUAGCACUCGGUGUCCCCUUAUCACGGUUUCCCGCAUUGUAAAGUUUUCGCGCCUGCUGCGCCCCGUAGGGCCUGGAUUCAUGUCUCAGAAUCCAUCUCCGGGCUCUUGCUCUCACAACCCGUACCCGUUGUAGGCUAGUAGGUACAUUACACCCACUACUACCUGAUAGGCCGCAGACCCAUCCUUGGGCAGACGAAUCCAUUUUACGCAUAAAGCAUUCCAGCAUAUGUGCGUUAUCCGGAAUUAUCCCCAGUUUCCCGGGGUUAUGCCGGACCCAAGGGCAGGUUAUCCACGUGUUACUGAGCAGUACGCCAUGUUCACGAAGAACAUAUGACUCGCAUGGCUUAGGCGAACACCGAUAGCAGUAACCUCUGGCAGGAUCAACCGGA